GAUUUCUGGCUUGAUGCGCCUGACCCACCUCGGUUACGAGCGUGAGUGUCGGUGCGCGUCUGCCAUCCUUCUAGAAAACCAUCUCGCCCUUUACUGGGUUGGGGUGGCGAUCUAGAUCUAUUACUUUGAAAAAAUUAGAGUGUUUAAAGCAGGCUUGCGCUAUGAAUACAUUAGCAUGGAAUAAUAAUUUAGGACUUUGGUCUUAUUUUGUUGGUUUCUAGGACUAAAGUAAUGAUUGAUAGGGACAGUUGGGGGUGCUAGUAUUCAGCGGCCAGAGGUGAAAUUCUUGGAUUCGCUGAAGACUAACUUAUGCGAAAGCAUU
rnacentral:rRNA from 1 species